GCGCGAGUCUCAGGGUCGUACGAAACCCGUUGGACGCAAUGAAAGUAAAAAUGGUCUUUACGGACUGUUUAGGUGAGAUCCCGGAACCGGCGACGGUAACGGGCGCACCACCGGCCCGUUUCAGCUGCUACGUCAGCGGGGCGGAGCAAGAGUGUACGCGUUGGGACCCGAAAGAUGGUGAACUAUGCCUGAGCAGGGUGAAGCCAGAGGAAACUCUGGUGGAGGCCCGAAGCGGUUCUGACGUGCAAAUCGAUCGUGUGAC
rnacentral:rRNA from 1 species